rnacentral:rRNA from 1 species
UCGGGUUGUAAACCUCUUUCAGUAGGGAAGAAGCGAAAGUGACGGUACCUGCAGAAGAAGCACCGGCUAACUACGUGCCAGCAGCCGCGGUAAUACGUAGGGUGCGAGCGUUAUCCGGAAUUAUUGGGCGUAAAGAGCUCGUAGGCGGUUUGUCGCGUCUGCCGUGAAAGUCCGGGGCUUAACUCCGGAUCUGCGGUGGGUACGGGCAGACUAGAGUGCAGUAGGGGAGACUGGAAUUCCUGGUGUAGCGGUGGAAUGCGCAGAUAUCAGGAGGAACACCGAUGGCGAAGGCAGGUCUCUGGGCUGUAACUGACGCUGAGGAGCGAAAGCAUGGGGAGCGAACAGGAUUAGAUACCCUGGUAGUCCAUGCCGUAAACGUUGGGCACUAGGUGUGGGGGCCAUUCCACGGUUUCCGCGCCGCAGCUAACGCAUUAAGUGCCCCGCCUGGGGAGUACGGCCGCAAGGCUAAAACUCAAAGGAAUUGACGGGGGCCCGCACAAGCGGCGGAGCAUGCGGAUUAAUUCGAUGCAACGCGAAGAACCUUACCAAGGCUUGACAUGUUCCCGAUCGCCGUAGAGAUACGGUUUCCCCUUUGGGGCGGGUUCACAGGUGGUGCAUGGUUGUCGUCAGCUCGUGUCG